rnacentral:rRNA from 1 species
AUACGUAGGUGACAAGCGUUAUCCGGAUUUACUGGGCGUAAAGGGCGUGUAGGCGGUCUUGCAAGUCAGAAGUGAAAUUCCUGAGCUCAACUCGGGCGCUGCUUCUGAAACUGCAGGACUUGAGUGCUGGAGGGGAUAGCGGAAUUCCUAGUGGAGCGGUAAAAUGCGCAGAUAUUAGGAAGAACACCGGUGGCGAAGGCGGUUAUCUGGACAGUAACUGACGCUGAGGCGCGAAAGCGUGGGGAGCAAACAGGAUUAGAUCCCCUGGUAGUCCACGCCGUAAACGAUGAAUACUAGGUGUAGGGGGUAUCGACUCCCUCUGUGCCGCAGUUAACACAAUAAGUAUUCCGCCUGGGGAGUACGGCCGCAAGGUUGAAACUCAAAUGAAUUGACGGGG